rnacentral:rRNA from 1 species
GACGUAGGGCGCGAGCGUUGUCCGGAUUUAUUGGGCGUAAAGAGCUCGUAGGCGGCUCGUUGCGUCAAUCGUGAAAACCCGGGGCUUAACUCCGAAACUGCAUUCGAUACUGCCGUGCUUGAGGACUGGAGAGGAGACUGGAAUUUACGGUGUAGCGGUGAAAUGCGUAGAUAUCGUAAGGAAGACCAGUGGCGAAGGCGGGUCUCUGGACAGUUCCUGACGCUGAGGCACGAAGGUCAGGGGAGCAAACGGG